rnacentral:misc_RNA from 1 species
UACUGCUGUGAUACAACACCUUGA